GACGAACGCUGGCGGCGUGCUUAACACAUGCAAGUCGAACGGAAAGGCCCUGCUUUUGUGGGGUGCUCGAGUGGCGAACGGGUGAGUAACACGUGAGUAACCUGCCCUUGACUUUGGGAUAACUUCAGGAAACUGGGGCUAAUACCGGAUAGGAGCUCCUGCUGCAUGGUGGGGGUUGGAAAGUUUCGGCGGUUGGGGAUGGACUCGCGGCUUAUCAGCUUGUUGGUGGGGUAGUGGCUUACCAAGGCUUUGACGGGUAGCCGGCCUGAGAGGGUGACCGGCCACAUUGGGACUGAGAUACGGCACAGAAUCCUACGGGAGGCAGCAGUGGGGAAUAUUGCACAGUGGGCGGAAGCCUGAUGCAGCAACGCCGCGUGCGGGAUGACGGCCUUCGGGUUGUAAACCGCUUUCGCCUGUGACGAAGCGUGAGUGACGGUAAUGGGUAAAGAAGCACCGGCUAACUACGUG
rnacentral:rRNA from 1 species